AGUGAACGCUGGCGGUAGGCCUAACACAUGCAAGUCGAACGGCAGCACAGUAAGAGCUUGCUCUUACGGGUGGCGAGUGGCGGACGGGUGAGGAAUACAUCGGAAUCUACUUUUUCGGGGGGGAUAACGUAGGGAAACUUACGCUAAUACCGCAUACGACCUACGGGUGAAAGCAGGGGAUCUUCGGACCUUGCGCGAUUGAAUGAGCCGAUGUCGGAUUAGCUAGUUGGCGGGGUAAAGGCCCACCAAGGCGACGAUCCGUAGCUGGUCUGAGAGGAUGAUCAGCGACACUGGAACUGAGCCACGGUCCAGACUCCUACGGGAGGCAGCAGUGGGGAAUAUUGGACAAUGGGCGCAAGCCUGAUCCAGCCAUACCGCGUGGGUGGAGAAGGCCUUCGGGUUGUAAAGCCCUUUUGUUGGGAAAGAAAAGCAGCAGGUUAAUACCCCGCUGUUCUGACGGUACCCAAAGAAUAAGCACCGGCUAACUUCGUG
rnacentral:rRNA from 1 species